UACGUAGGCAGCAAGCGUUGUUCGGAGUUACUGGGCGUAAAGGGUGCGUAGGCGGUCCUAUAAGUAUGGUGUGAAAUCUCCCGGCUUAACUGGGAGGGUGCGCUAUAGACUGUGGGACUAGAGUGUGGGAGAGGAAAGUGGAAUUCCUGGUGUAGCGGUGGAAUGCGCAGAUAUCAGGAGGAACACCGGUGGCGAAGGCGGGUCUCUGGGCAGUGAACUGACGCUGGGGGAGCGAAAGCGUGGGGAGCGAACGAGGA
rnacentral:rRNA from 1 species